UUCCGUUGUAGUCUAGUUGGUCAGGAUACUCGGCUCUCACCCGAGAGACCCGGGUUCAUAUCCCGGCAACGGAACCAGAAUCCCCCUCAGAUGUUGACGAGUCGUUCGUGUCGAGUCUUCUCAUCUUCAGUC
rnacentral:tRNA from 1 species